GCCGCGCGGUGGCUGCCGGGUGCCGCACGCCUUCCCUUUCCUCGCCUCUCCCUUUUACCCCCGCUCCCAUCCCCGCCCCCACGGCCGCUCCGCUCCCUGGCGUGACUCGGCAUUGAGAGCCCCGGGAGAAGACGCCGCGGUCGCUACCUCCUCUGUCCAGGCCUCCGCCUUCCUGGGCCUCCCUCCUUCCUCUCCCGCGUCUUCUUCAGUUUUGAAGCCGGUGGCUUCGCGGCCGCCCUGCCGGACUUCUGAGAAUGGUGGGUGUGAAGCCGGUCGGGAGUGACCCGGAUUUCCAGCCGGAGCUGAGCGGCGCGGGCUCCAGACUCGCCGUGGUCAAGUUCACCAUGCGAGGGUGUGGACCGUGUUUAAGGAUUGCCCCAGCAUUCAGUUCUAUGAGUAAUAAGUAUCCACAAGCAGUAUUCUUGGAAGUAGAUGUACAUCAGUGUCAGGGAACAGCUGCCACCAACAAUAUAUCAGCAACACCUACAUUUCUGUUUUUUCGAAACAAAGUGAGAAUUGAUCAGUAUCAAGGAGCAGAUGCUGUGGGACUAGAGGAAAAAAUCAAGCAGCACUUAGAAAACGACCCUGGAAGCAACGAGGACACAGAUAUUCCAAAAGGCUAUAUGGAUUUAAUGCCUUUUAUUAACAAAGCUGGCUGUGAAUGUCUUAAUGAAAGUGACGAGCAUGGAUUUGACAACUGUUUACGAAAAGACAUGACCUUCUUGGAAUCUGAUUGUGAUGAACAGCUACUUAUUACCGUGGCAUUCAAUCAGCCUGUUAAGCUUUACUCAAUGAAAUUUCAAGGGCCGGAUAAUGGUCAGGGUCCUAAGUAUGUAAAAAUUUUUAUCAAUCUACCCCGGUCUAUGGAUUUUGAAGAGGCAGAAAGAAGUGAGCCAACUCAAGCUCUGGAACUAACAGAGGAUGAUAUUAAAGAAGAUGGUAUUGUCCCACUUCGUUAUGUAAAGUUUCAGAAUGUUAACAGUGUAACUAUAUUUGUUCAGUCCAAUCAAGGUGAAGAAGAAACAACAAGAAUUUCAUAUUUUACUUUUAUUGGGACUCCAGUCCAGGCAACAAAUAUGAAUGACUUCAAACGAGUAAGUUUGUUUAAAUGAUAGCUAGGAGAAAUAAAAAUAACAAUUUUAAAGCCAUCAAAAUCAUACCAUGUCAUGAAAUUUUAUAAGGUUAAACAGAACAGUAGGUUCUUCUAAUCACAGUUUUAGAUUUCUUACUAAACGAAAUCUCUAAUAAAAAUAAGUCCUACUGAUAUAGUGUCUGUUACGAAUGGCAUCCAAAUAAGAGGGGCAAAAAUUAUUGUUUGGUUAUAGAAAGUAGUUAGGAAUAAUGAAAAAUAGUAGUAGUAAGUUAAAUCAUUAUUAAUGAAUUUUUAAGAACUUUGCUUAUAUUAAGAUUUUGAUUAUCAUUGUUUCUGAUGAAAACAUAUUUAAAAUGACAAUUUUAAUCAAAAAGAAUGGACUCAGUUUUACUACACUGAGAUGCUUUCAAACCAUGUCUUCGUGCUGAAAGAACACAUUUCAGCAAAUAACUAUUCAGUGAACAGGCAUAUAUGUAUGUAUUCAGUGAAUUUUUUUGUUUUUUGUUUUUGAGGACAUAGUCCUAAAGUUUGUGAAAAAAUUUAUAAGUUACAUGGGACCUUUAGGAAAGAGAACAUUUUUUUCAUUCUUGGAACUACUUCUAAUUGGUAACAGUUCAUUUAGGAUGACUCUUAUAAUAUACAACCACAGAUCAUAGAUGUACUACCAAGAACUUUAUCAGUACAGAACCCAGUUGCUGUACACAGACUAAAUGUGCAGCAGCACCGGAGAUGUAGGUUUUACUGUGUUUCAGAUGGCUGCAUUUGACGGGCAGUCUAGAACUUGGGGUUAUUAUAAGAGAGGAAGAGUUUCCCUAGCACUGCCAAUGCCUGGAGGAAGAGGCACCUGGCUUAAAACUUAGAGCCCUGUUUGGGGAAUUGGAGCCGUGGAACACCCUGAAAACUUAUUCUUUUUGAUGGCACUGCAGAUCUAAUUUUAAUCCAAUAACAAAAAUUCAUAAAAUUUCAUAACGGUGGAUGAGCUUAUAAAAUUGUACGCUGUUUUUGCAAAAUUGAUAACCUUGACAAUAGAUAUUUUAAUGUCAUUUUCCAAUUGCUAUCUUUCUGUCUCACAGCAUAGUUAACUUUUGGGAGGUUUAGGAACAGUUAUUUACUUAGAUCUGUCAUGUCAAAUGUUUGACAUGCACAUAAUGACAGGUCAGAAGAAGCAGAGAUUAAACAUCUACGUUUUUAUGAUAUGAAAUAUGCUGCACUGGGAAACUGUGAGCAACAGAGUCGUUUUGGCCGCCUGCUUUGCUACUUUGCUUGUUUGAAUUAAAUGCCAUUGGAUUUGGCUUUAACCGUGCCUUGCAUAGUUUCUUUUUAGCUCAGUUCUUUCCUAAGAUCUAUUAUUCUAAAUCCUGUUAUUUCCUCAUAUCAUUAAUUCACCUCUGGUUUCCUGCUUCUCACCUCAGCUUAUGCUACUUGAUUUCCAUUUUUCCUUUAGGUAACCCCUACUCUAUCUUGUCCAUCUUCUUACCAGCCUGCCCUUCAGUUAUAGUUUUUCUAAUGUGCAUUAAUAAUUGUCUAUCUAAGGAUGUCUCCACCUCUUUGUUUUUAACAUCCCCCCUCACAUCCCUUCUAGCCUAUUUUCUCUCUUUGUUGACUAUCAAACUACCUUUUUUGGACUGUCUUCAGGAUAGCAAAGCUUUUUUAAUCCAACUCAAAUGAACUAAAACCAGAAGAUUUUUAACAAUGAAGUAAUAUAAAGAUUGACCUUAUCUCACUCUACUCCCCUCCUUGCUUCUCUGCUCAUCUAGCACCUGUCUGCUCUCACCCUUCUCAUGUUCUCACCAUUGUUGGGGCAAGAUUUCUACAGCUUCUGUCAUCUGGAUCAGCCUUCUUGUUACCUAAAUUUCCUCAACCGUCUCUUCUUCAGAUCUCAUUCUACUCAUGUUUCUCAGUUGGCCUUUUAUUUGUUUUGGUUUUUGUUCUGGGCUUGCAACUAGGUGCUUUAAUUUCAUUACCAUACCAGGUUGCUCACCCAACUUCUUGUUACUUUUUUUUAUUUACUUUCUCCUGUCUCAUAUUUAAUUUUGUACUACAUUUUGAGAAAUAAUUUUGCAAUAAAACUUACAUUGUUGUAAAUGUUUUUAGAUUUAACUAGUUGGAUAAUGUUUUAAUCUGAUCUAAAGUUUAAAUUUUAUUUUUUAGAAACUAUAGAAUCAUUUUGGAAAUCAAAUAUGAGCAGUUUCAUCAAGUUCUUUUAUAUCAGUACUAGUGUAAUAUAUUGAUUAGGCUGAAUUUGAGAGACGUGGGUUUUCUUUUCUCAUUGGAACUGUAGCCCCAAAAUCUUUUUGCUGAUUAAUUGUGGGUGUGUCCUGUGCUUUGCCAACGCAAGUGAGUUCAAGGCCAGUUGAAAGACUUAUGGACUGAAUGUUAGGCUGGGUUAAAAUAUUAACAUAGAAGAUCAGUGGACUCUUUACUGAAUAAAUAUUUUUGACAUCUAAUUUUGAUGUACCAAAAUUUUUGUCUGAGGUGUAAUAUAAAGACUUAAAAAUGAAUAAAAGAGCUUUACUUUUGGGGUGAGAAA